ACACAGGACGGGUUCUGUCAGACAGAGAGCGGGGAAUAAAACACAGGACGGGUUCUGUCAGACAGAGAGCGGGGAAUAAAACACAGGACGGGUUCUGUCAGACAGAGAGCGGGGAAUAAAACACAGGACGGGUUCUGUCAGACAGAGAGCGGGGAAUAAAACACAGGACGGGUUCUGUCAGACAGAGAGCGGGGAAUAAAACACAGGACGGGUUCUGUCAGACAGAGAGCGGGGAAUAAAACACAGGUCGGGUUCUGUCAGACAGAGAGCGGGGAAUAAAACACAGGACGGGUUCUGUCAGACAGAGAGCGGGGAAUAAAACACAGGUCGGGUUCUGUCAGACAGAGAGCGGGGAAUAAAACACAGGACGGGUUCUGUCAGACAGAGAGCGGGGAAUAAAACACAGGACGGGUUCUGUCAGACAGAGAGCGGGGAAUAAAACACAGGACGGGUUCUGUCAGACAGAGAGCGGGGAAUAAAACACAGGACGGGUUCUGUCAGACAGAGAGCGGGGAAUAAAAA